UGGGGAAUUUUGGACAAUGGGGGAAACCCUGAUCCAGCCAUCCCGCGUGUGCGAUGAAGGCCUUCGGGUUGUAAAGCACUUUUGGCAGGAAAGAAACGUCAUGGGUUAAUACCCCGUGAAACUGACGGUACCUGCAGAAUAAGCACCGGCUAACUACGUGCCAGCAGCCGCGGUAAUACGUAGGGUGCAAGCGUUAAUCGGAAUUACUGGGCGUAAAGCGUGCGCAGGCGGUUCGGAAAGAAAGAUGUGAAAUCCCAGAGCUCAACUUUGGAACUGCAUUUUUAACUAACGGGCUAGAGUGUGUCAGAGGGAGGUGGAAUUCCGCGUGUAGCAGUGAAAUGCGUAAAUAUGCGGAGGAACACCGAUGGAGAAGGCAGCCUCCUGGGAUAACACUGACGCUCAUGCACGAAAGCGUGGGGAGCAAACAGG
rnacentral:rRNA from 1 species